GAUGAAGAACGUAGCGAAAUGCGAUAAGUAAUGUGAAUUGCAGAAUUCAGUGAAUCAUCGAAUCUUUGAACGCACAUUGCGCCCCUCGGCACUCCGGGGGGCAUGCCUGUCCGAGCGUCAUUGCACCCCUCGAGCCCCCGUGGCUUGGUCGUGGGCCGCGCCCGCGCCGCCCUUCCCCCCCUCGCGGGGGAGGGCGGCGGGCGGGCUCGAAACGCAGUGGCGGCCCCCGGGCGACUUCCAGCGCGAUGACGUGUGUCGCUGCCGAAGCGUUCGCCCCGGGCGGCCCGCCAGGCAACCCCCGUCCUUCUAUGCGGUUGACCUCGGAUCAGGCAGGGAUACCCGCUGAACUUAAGCAUAUCAAUAAGCGGAGGA
rnacentral:misc_RNA from 1 species